rnacentral:rRNA from 1 species
UACGUAGGGUCCAAGCGUUAUCCGGAAUCACUGGGCGUAAAGCGUGCGUAGGUGGCGCAUUAAGUGAGAUGUGAAAUCCCGGGGCUCAACCCCGGAACUGCCCUUGAAACUGGAGAGCUAGAAUCUUGGAGAGGCGAGUGGAAUUCCGAGUGUAGAGGUGAAAUUCGUAGAUAUUCGGAAGAACACCAGUGGCGAAGGCGACUCGCUGGACAAGUAUUGACGCUGAGGUGCGAAAGCGUGGGGAGCAAACAGG